UACGAAGGGGGCUAGCGUUGUUCGGAAUCACUGGGCGUAAAGCGCGUGUAGGCGGCUCGUUAAGUCGGGGGUGAAAUCCUGAGGCUCAACCUCAGAACUGCCUUCGAUACUGGCGAUCUUAGAGUCCGGGAGAGGUGAGUGGAACUCCUAGUGUAGAGGUGAAAUUCGUAGAUAUUAGGAAGAACACCAGUGGCGAAGGCGGCUCACUGGCCCGGUACUGACGCUGAUAUGCGAAAGCGUGGGGAGCAAACAGG
rnacentral:rRNA from 1 species